rnacentral:rRNA from 1 species
AUCGGUGCUUGCACUGAUCCGAUCGAGUGGCGGACGGGUGAGUAACGCGUGGGUAACCUGCCUCAUACAGGGGAAUAACAGUUGGAAACGGCUGCUAAAACCGCAUAAGCGCACAGUAUUGCAUGAUACAGUGUGAAAAACUCCGGUGGUAUGAGAUGGACCCGCGUCUGAUUAGCUAGUUGGUGGGGUAACGGCCUACCAAGGCGACGAUCAGUAGCCGGGCUGAGAGGCUCUUCGGCCACAUUGGGACUGAGACACGGUCCAAACUCC